rnacentral:piRNA from 1 species
UAAAUGCUUGAGAUGUUGAACAAAUCCAUC